CCGAGAUCCUAUUUUUAAACCUGGAAGCUGCGCAGAGACCAGUCUGCAAACAGGAACCUUUAAUAAAGUAGGAGUACAUCAUCCCACUGCAUCCUGGACACCGUGGUUUCUGACGAGCAGUCAGCUGUCCUUCGUGCUGCGUUCCUUUGAACACGGACACACACGGGGAGGAGUGGUCAGAUACGACUCAGCGCUGAGAAACUACAGACUGUUGAUGCCCAUACAGUACGGAUGGACGUCAUGUGCCAAUGAGGACUGACAGGGAACAGCACGCAAGCAGCAGUCUGAGGACAGACAGUGUGAAUGGAAAGUUUUGAAGACAAAGUUCCUACCUCAGUAGAUACAAUGUGGAGUUAUAGAAACGAAUCGAGUUUCAGACUUGGGUCACUUGAUGACUACGCAGCUUCUUGACUAAGUAGGAGCUGAUCUCCUUGAGAGAAGGCCUUACACGCUCUCCCAGCUACAAGAGGAGACUUCAAAAGUUCAUGGAGAAAUGGAACUAAAAGGCAGACACCCUGGAGAAAGGUGGUGGGUUACAGCAGUCCUGGAGAAGGCCCCUUUGUGGGACCCCCGUCGCAGCCCUGGAGAACUGAGGCUUGGCUGCUGCUC